rnacentral:lncRNA from 1 species
AUUCUAUAAAUGGCUCUAAAUUAUGCCUUUUGAGUGAGCAGAAUGGAUACUCAACAUCUGCUUGAGAAGUCUCAGUCAGUGGCAUUGCAACAAAGCCUGGUCAAGACUGAGAGAUGGGCCCCACAGGGAUGCUGAGAAGCUUUCUGAUGGUCCAUGCAGAGUCAGUGGGGAAAUUGCUGUUGUCAUAAUGAGGUUGAUGUCUCUGCAUAUUGUCUAGGAUGGAAAUGGACAGCUGUUGCCUUGGAGUCAGGAAAUCAACUACCUCCUUUCUUCCUUAUUCCUAUGAAUCAGGGUCUAGGAGCUCUAAUUUGACUUUUGCUCAGAGUCAAAAGUGGUAUUAUCAGUAAGGGAGUGAAAUGGAUGCUGACUCACAAGUCUUUCAAUUUUGAAUCAUAUCGACAUUGUGCUGAUCUUUCUAAAAUAUUGCUCUCUUCAUGUUCAAAAUUAUUCAAUGGCUCCUCUUGGCCUAGUCCAGUGGGUCACCACAUGUUUCUCAUCAUGCUGAGCACAGGAGAUUUUGCUGAGGGAGCUUGUGUGAUGGGUUCAAAAGCUGCUUCUGCUAAAAAUCUCAUGUGGCCACCCCAGCUGAAGACAGAUCAAAACACGAAGACAGAUCAAAACAUUGGAAAGGUCCAGCAUGCAGGACAAAAUGAAAAUGUUUUACUUUGAUUUUCCAGGUAUUCAACAAUCUGGCUGCCAACCUAUUAAUAUUUUUCUCUUACAAUGUCCCUAUGUGGCUGCACUGUACCAGCCAAAUGUAUUUACUCAUCCUCUGCAAAGUAAUCAUCGUAGCUUAGAGUCCCUAUGGCUUCUGCUUUAUUUGUUGGAAUGGGAAAAUACCUGUCUGCUUUUCACAUUCAUCAAAAUCCUGGCCAUCGUGCAAGACUCUAGUCCACAGCUCUCCACUUCCCAAGGGCACUACUGAUGCUAUCAGAGAAAACAACUAUGGAAUCCGCCAAAAAAUGUAUCCACACUUCAGUGGUUCACCAUACUAAUAAAUGGAAGCUCAAGGCACCCCUCUGAGUACCUCUUGUCAUUACAGAGGCCAAAGGUAACUGGUAUUAAUCUCAUGAUGUGUCCAUAAAUUUAGUGUUAAAAUAUUUAUGCAAAUUUCUCUUUUCCUGAUGUGUACAUUUUUUGGCAGACUCUGUAUUAUUAGCCUAGCACUUUGAGGGACCCUGGAGGUCUUUGGCCUUGAAAGAUGAAUACAGAGGGCUUUUCAGGUGGAACAGCCCGAAAAAACAGCACACUAUUUACUGCUACAGCUUGACAGGUAGUAAACAACAGACAUUACCUUGAGAGAUUUCUCCUGGACAGGUCUGAAACAGAUGUUUAGAAGUUUGAGUGCCAGUGUUUCUGGUUGAAGAACAUUUCCUGUUCAGCAAGCUCCUUCCUCUUGCUCUGGUUGCAGUUCUGGUCCUUCCUGCCUGAGUAGCUCAAGUCCUGAGGCAGGACUCCGAGUGAGCUGCUAUGCUGAGCUGAGCAGGGUCUCUAGAUCUUCUGUAGGGAGGUUGAAUAAAUUCUCUUUUCUCUACAACUAUUAAGCUGAAAUGAUUUAGGCCUGGAGCUUCUAGACCACCAGCUUUCUCAUGGAGGGAAAGAAAGCCUGUCCCCAAUAAGAAAAUUAAUAGCAAUAGUGAGAUAGAGCAAAGCCUUGGCAUGUUCUGAGACGUAAAACACCCAAUGCAAUCUCACCCAGGUUUGUUCUACUAAUGUGAGGCAAUAGACUUUAAUCUUAUUGCUGUUUAAACUAGUUUGGGCAUUUAUGAUGCAGAAAUGAAAGAGCCUAUCUAAGGUCAGUGGAAAAUGCCACCAGAAUGGUCAUUGCGAGGCAGGUCGAGGAGGGUUGAGGUCCAGCUGGGGAAUCAGACUGAUCUGUGCUUAGGGGGAGAACUGCCACAAAGUGCACUCCAGAUCAGAGGGAGGAAGAACUAAGGAGAAAAAGAUAUACGCCUUAUGAGUUCGCUCUUCAUGGGCCUUUGAGCUGCUGCGUUGGGGCUGUUUCUGUUGUUUCUGGAAAUGCCUGGUGGAGAGAAGCCAUAGAGAGACAUAUUUGUAUAAGCAGAAGUCUGUCUCUGGCGGAGGAAACUGGGAGUUGCCAGAGAACAGUUACCUAAGGAUGGAAACACGAGACUGCUUGAGGAAAUGCAAAGCUGGGGACCGGCUGGGGAAGAUGACAGCAUAUGAAAGUGAAAAAAAUUGUCUUUUCCUAAGAGAAAGAUAUGGCUGCUGAUGUGCUAACUACAUGUUUUAUUGAUACGGGUACUUGCUUUUUUCUACAACUAGGAUCUCAGUGGCUGAUACAACAAAUAUUCUGAGGUUCCUGCUAUUGAAAACUUAAUAAAUGUCCAGACAUGGCUAUGAAAAGUAUAGUGUGUUAAUUGUCAGCAGUACCUCAUGCCUUCAGGAUGACUGGAUAAUAACUUGAUGAAUUUUUGGACACAACACAUAGUACAAUAAUAAUGUGAGCUAUAAAGUAGAGAUUUUUUUACAAAGUAAAUUAAUAGCAUGCCUUGGUAGAGCCCUAGUGAUAGGGCAGAAGGCUUCCUCUGUCAGAUGAGCAGAUGUCUCUGUUCUCUGUGGAACAUGUCAUGGGGACCUGACAGCAAUUCCUUGAAUCUGAGGUGGGCACAUUGCUGAGAGUCUCACCAUCAUCAUGGAUGCUGCUCAUCACUUAGUGGACCUGACCAGUUUUCUGCUCAGUCUGUUUUCCCUGUGGCUGUCAUCAAGGCCCCCCUCCAAAAGGCUGACAUUUGGGUGGCACUAAGCAGGUUCACUGAUUCAUUUAAGCAACGAUGACAGGAUAGUACUUCAGAGGCAAACCGAGGGUAAAGACAGAAGGUAAAGGGCAAAGGCUUGCCCCAAAAGAUCCCUUAGGGGCACAUGUCUGGUGCACAGGAUAGAAUAAAUGUAUUUGUGGGAAUGUGUGUUCUUAAUAUUAAUUCAGCAGACAGAUUAAUGGUGCUACCACUUCUCCUGUGGGACAGCAGGGACACGACACGUGUAUCACUUUAGCAGCAACCCCAGGGUAAUAGCCACGAUAGUAUUCAUUAAAUUACUUUGCAUCCCUGGAAGAGAGGGCUAAAGGUCAAGCUGGUGUCAUAUUGCAAGAUAAGGCCCAGAGGGCCCAAAAGCAUGGCAGAGACUGAAGAACUCCUCCCCGGGAGUCAGGACAGAACAUGGGCUCUUCUGCCCAGCCAGCAUUUGGUCAUUUCCAUGCUCUAAAUGCGGCCUCCAAAACUCUCAUUUAAAUUUAAUUGUCAUUAUGACAAUAUUAAGAGGUAAGGACUCUAUGAGGUGUUUAGGUCAAGAGGACCCAGCUCUCCUCAAUGGACUUAUGCCAUUAUUAUGUUGCUGAUGAAAAGAAUGAGAGCAUCCCAAAUCUCCUCUCAUCUCCCGCCCUUCUGCUGUACAAUGGUGCAGCACAGAGGCCUCUGCCAGCUGCUGGGGCCUUGAUCUUGGACUUGCCACCCUCCAAAACGAUGAGCAACAAAUCUCCUUGCUUUCUAAAUUAGUCAGUAUAUUCUAUUAUAGCAGCAGAGAAAGCACUAAGACACCAUCAACAAAUCAACCAUCAAUUAGACAUCCACACACAUGCACACACAAAAAAAACCAAGGAAAGAGGAAGAGGAGGAAGAAGAGGAGGAAAGGAAAUUUCUUCUUUCUCAGAAGAAAGAAUUAAAACAGCUAGCUCUUGUAGAGGAAGUGGGCCAGGUCAGCGAAGGUUUUAGUCCCUGGGAAAUUUAUACUUGGAUUCAUCUGUACAACUCAUCCCUCCCCAGCACACACUCAGCAAUUUUGCUUUUCCGCCUCUGUGUCGUUGCCCGUAUCAGCUAGAAGAGGUUCUGCCAGAUCCUGGGAACCAGUAGUCACAGCUCCAUGUUUCCACACCGGUUGAGAAAAUCAAUGUCAAUGAGAUCCCGGGGCAGAGCAAGGGCAGCAAAAGGCCACCCACGCGGCCAGCCUCCACAGACGGUGCUGCUGGCCACAGAGAGCAGAUCAGAAGCUGCCAGUGUGGAUUACAGGGCUUCAUGUUCAGAAUGGGAGGACGUUCUAGUUCCCUCCUACACUUCUUAUCAAUGCAGAGAAUUGCCUUCCCUUUGACAUUCAGAGAAAGAUGAAAUAAUAAACAACAAUAAACAGAAUUUAU